AGGUUCCCAUGAAGGGAGGGUGUCCUCUACACCCGACAAGUGAGGCUGAGCCACACUACUGAUCAGCCAGACAGCCAAAGUAUCCAUGCCAGCCCGUGUCCCUGGGAAACGUAAGCUUCUCACUCAGCCAAGGCAACAAGAGAGCCUCUGCUUGACGGCCUCCCUGCCAGAGAAACUCAUCAGCUACAGGAUCCAGUUUUCAGGGCCAGUUUCACUGCAAGAAUAAUCUGCCAGACCACGAGUACUCCAGCAGUCUCCUUCUUCCACCAACUAUCUGCUGUUACCAAGCCGGCCAGCUGCAGCAGACACACAUGUGGAAAGUUGUGUGCAGUGAGAUUCACCAGAUAGAACCUAUUUGGAGUUGAUGUUGAGCAAUGUUAAUUCAUUUGCAUUUCAGUUCCACUAACAUCAAAGGAAAUCGGUACAUCUGUUUUCAGUUUUUGUUGCAAUUUUACUUAAUUUUUGUCACUUUAAUUAUAAUUGGCAUGGUCUCAUCUAAACACUACUUAAACAUCAGCACAUUAUACAUUUUC